rnacentral:rRNA from 1 species
GUCCACGCCCUAAACGAUGUCGACUAGGUGUUGGGGAAGGAGACUUCCUUAGUACCGCAGCUAACGCGUGAAGUCGACCGCCUGGGGAGUACGGUCGCAAGAUUAAAACUCAAAGGAAUUGACGGGGACCCGCACAAGCGGUGGAUGAUGUGGAUUAAUUCGAUGCAACGCGAAAAACCUUACCUACCCUUGACAUGUACGGAAGCCCGCUGAGAGGUGGGUGUGCCCGAAAGGGAGCCGUAACACAGGUGCUGCAUGGCUGUCGU